AUAAUUUGCCUAGUACAUAGAGUGUGCUUUGUGGAUUUGUUGGGUUCUCUACACACUUAGAUAAGGGAUCCUUUUGCAAAGCACUUGGCACAAUGUGUGGUACCAUAAUACAUGGUACUUGAUGAAAGAGGGCUUAUAACAACACUAUGAUAAUUAUUGCUAUUACUAGUUGUCCAUUUUGUGCUCCUGUAGCAUAAUACCACAGACUGGGUAAUUUAUAAAGAACUUGAAUAUUUUCUCAAAGUUCUAGAGCCUGGGAAGAGCAAGACCAAGAUAUUCAGUUGCUUGGUGAGAGCUGCUCUCCGCUUCCAAGGUGAUGCCUUGUUGCUGUAUCCUCCAACAGGAAGGAAUGCUGGGGCCUCACGUGACAGAAGGUAGAAAGUUACUUUCUCAUCUGCUGCUUUUGGUCUGCUGGAAACUCUGGAUUCGGAACUUUCAUUUGGAGACAGACCUGCCAUGUCUGCUGGAUAACUCCUGGCUACUUCAACUCUUCACCUUACCAGAUGUAACUAGCCCAAUUCCAUUAUAUUAUGGGCAGAAUUUUUGAUAAGCAUUCCAUCUGCAAAUUGUGGGUAGUUUCAACUCAUUCGGGACAUCAUUAGAGAACAUAGGUACCUGGAU
rnacentral:lncRNA from 1 species